rnacentral:rRNA from 1 species
UGGGGAAUUUUGGACAAUGGGCGCAAGCCUGAUCCAGCCAUGCCGCGUGCGGGAAGAAGGCCUUCGGGUUGUAAACCGCUUUGUCAGGGAAGAAAUCUUCUGAGUUAAUACCUCGGGAGGAUGACGGUACCUGAAGAAUAAGCACCGGCUAACUACGUGCCAGCAGCCGCGGUAAUACGUAGGGUGCAAGCGUUAAUCGGAAUUACUGGGCGUAAAGCGUGCGCAGGCGGUUUUGUAAGACAGAGGUGAAAUCCCCGGGCUCAACCUGGGAACUGCCUUUGUGACUGCAAGGCUUGAUGCGGCAGAGGGGGAUGGAAUUCCGCGUGUAGCAGUGAAAUGCGUAGAUAUGCGGAGGAACACCGAUGGCGAAGGCAAUCCCCUGGGCCUGCACUGACGCUCAUGCACGAAAGCGUGGGGAGCAAACAGGAUUAGAUAGCCCUGGUAGUCCACGCCCUAAACGAUGUCAACUGGUUGUUGGGAAGGUUCCUUCUCAGUAACGUAGCUAACGCGUGAAGUUGACCGCCUGGGGAGUACGGCCGCAAGGUUGGAAAACU